rnacentral:rRNA from 1 species
UACAGAGGUCUCAAGCGUUGUUCGGAUUCAUUGGGCGUAAAGGGUGUGUAGGUGGCGCGCUAAGUCGGGUGUGAAAUUUCGGAGCUUAACUCCGAAACUGCAUUCGAUACUGGCGUGCUUGAGGACUGGAGAGGAGACUGGAAAUUUACGGUGUAGCGGUGAAAUGCGUAGAUAUCGUAAGGAAGACCAGUGGCGAAGGCGGGUCUCGUGGA